rnacentral:misc_RNA from 1 species
UUCAUGCUUGCGACACGUGGACGUCGUCUCGGCCUCUCCGGUGCUUUUUAUCGAACGCCACUCUAACCCCGCCCAGCCCUUCAGCGCCGCGCCGCCCCGCCAAUGUCUAAAGACCCAACGACUCCGCAAAUACCCUCCAAAAACUAAAAUCCAAACCAUGUCCCUCACUUUCUACCCGUCUCCUCUUUCGCUCCCCUCCGCUUCCUCUCUCCCUCAUGCGCACCCUACCCCUCCCCUCCUUCCUAUGUCUAUCCUACGCCGGCUGACUCCUCGCCACCUAUCCUUACACAUCAACGGCAACAGUAGACGGCGCGUUUCCUCAGUCGCCGCCGCUGUUCGACAGGAUACUUCUGUUUGGUCCCAAGCGCCUCUCUCCCAGAUCGAACCUGCUGCUGAGUCCCU